GAUGAACGCUGGCGGCGUGCCUAACACAUGCAAGUCGAGCGGACGGAGGAGGCUUUUGCUUGGAUGCAGCGGCGGGCGGGCGGGUGAGGCACAGGAGUCUACCUUACCUAGGAGAAUGAGGUCAGUACGGGAAAGCGGAUACCACAUCGGAUCAGAGGUUGAACCGGGGGGUUCAUAGGACAAAGCCGGACUUGCUGUGCCUAGUUGGGAGUUGCUAGCUGGAGGGGUAAAGGCCUACCAAGGCGACGUUCCGAGACUGGCCUGAGAGGAUGACCCGUCACACUGGAACUGAGACACGGUCCAGACUCCUACGGGAGGCAGCAGUGGGGAAUAUUGGACAAUGGGCGAAAGCCUGAUCCAGCCAUGCCGCGUGUGUGAAGAAGGUCUUCGGAUUGUAAAGCACUUUAAGUUGGGAGGAAGGGCAGUAAGUUAAUACCUUGCUGUUUUGACGUUACCAACAGAAUAAGCACCGGCUAACUUCGUG
rnacentral:rRNA from 1 species